rnacentral:lncRNA from 1 species
GGAAAUCUUCCAACUAGAAGUAAAGAGGUUGAAGAAGGCUUAGGAGUGUGCAGGUUUUUUUUUUUUUUUUACGAAUCAGGUUUUAUACUUUUAACGUUUAGACUUUGUUGUGUGUUUGGCGAUUUUUUGUCGUUCUUGUAUAUAUUAAGAUCGUUCUGUUCUUUCUUAUCAAUAACUAAUGGAGCGGAAGUAACGAUAGUAGCCGAUAACACGAUGAUCCUAUUUAGUCUGCGAAUGCCUAAGAUCAAAGUCUUCUUGAGAUCGUUGAGAACACCUAUGUUCUAGCCGAUUGCAAGGAUUAAGAGAUGUUGUAAAACAAAGCUCUAAGUUUUUAUAAUUCAAUAAUCAAAGUCGUGUCUCUUACAAACCCAAGAGAUCACAUUAUAUAGCUAAUAGAAAUCCUAAAACUGAUAGGAUAAGAAACUAAAACGUAUUUAGAAAAGGAAUGGAAAGCUUUAACUAAAAAGGAAAUAAUAACAACAAAACCUAAGGGAAAUAGGAUGUACGCUACAUCAGGUCCCCUCCCCUACGGAAGAUUCGUCCACGAAUCCAGACAGUGCAGCAUCAUCUGGCUCAUGUUUGAACAAAUGCUUCACGUUGAAAACAUCGGCGGUAUGUAUAUGAGAUGGUAAUCGCAGACGAUAAGCAUUGGGAUUGAUCUUCUCGAGGAUUUCGACAGGACCGAUCUUUCGAGGCUUCAACUUAUUGUACUGGCCGGUAGGAAACCGUUCCUUAGUGAGGACGGCCCACACAUAGUCACCCACCUGCAAAUGUAGCUCGCGUCUGUGUUUAUCCGCAGCCUGCUUGUAUUUCAAGGCAGAAGCCUCCAAGUUAUUCUGCGCGACUGUAUGAACGAGAGCGAGUUCCUCCACAAGGUCAAGGGCUCGUCCAUGAAACUCACCGUUGUGAGGAAGAGAUGUUAAAGCCAAAGGCCCCCGCGGCACAAACCCAUAUACCACUUUGAACGGACUGAAGCCAAGGCUUCGGUUAUGCGCAUGGUUAUGGGCGAACUCUGCCUGGCACAAGAUAGAAUCCCAAGAUUUGAGGUUAUCGCCCACCAAACAACGCAACAUGUUACCCAAAGAACGAUUAACAACUUCAGUUUGACCGUCCGUUUGAGGAUGAUACGCGGAACUCAUAUUUAAGCUGGUUUUGAAAAGCUUCCACAAGGAUCUCCAAAAAUGGCUAAUGAAACGAGAAUCACGGUCGGAGACGAUAGAGACCGGAAGACCGUGUAAACGAUAAACCUCUCGAAAGAAAAGCUGAGCAACCUGAACAGCAUCCGUUGUCUUCUUACAAGGAAUAAAGUGCGCCAUUUUCGAGAAACGAUCUACUACCACAAAGAUGGAAUCGUUACCCCGUUGAGUUCGUGGUAGCCCCAGAACAAAAUCCAUACUUAUAUCGCUCCAUGGCUGUGUAGGAACGGGUAAUGGCAGGUAAAGGCCGGCAUUGGAAGCGUGGCCUUUGCUUCGUUGACACGUCGUACAUCGCGCCACAAACCUUUCUACAUCACGCCGCACUGUAGGCCAAAAGUAAGAAUCCAAGACUAGCUUAAGUGUGCGAUCACGACCGACGUGCCCCUCACCAUGUAACUCCCGAAUAAUCUGUAGGCGGAGACUACUCUCUGGUACGCAGAGCCUGUUGUCUUUGAAUACAAACCCGUCUACUAACGAGAAGUCAGAACGGACUCCCUGCGAUAAGUCUGCCCAAACCGAAGCAAAAUAAGGAUCCGUCGGGUACAGAUCAGCUAAAGACUCAAAACCCACGACCGAAACUCGCAAUGUAGAGACCAGGGCAUGGCGUCUACUUAAGGCGUCGGCUACUUUGUUCAGCUUCCCCGCCUGAUGCCGUAUGACGAAAGUAAACUGCUGUAAAUAGGCAGUCCACGAGGCGUGACGAGAAGAAAUCUUAUCUUGAGUUCCCAAAUACUUUAAGGCAACAUGAUCGGUAUAUAAGAUGAACUCUUUAUGCGCUAAAUAGUGACGCCAAUGCUUUAUGGCUUGGACUAUAGCAUAAAAUUCGAUAUCAUAGGUGCUGUAGCGGCUUCGUGCUCCCGCCAAUUUCUCACUAUAAAACGCCACCGGCUUCCCAUGUUGACUUAACACGGCGCCAAUACCUAGUUUCGAAGCAUCACAAUGCAGUUCAAAGGGUGAAUCAAAGUCGGGUAACACCAGAAUGGGAGCCGACGUGAGUUUAUCUUUGAUGAUAGUAAAUGCCUGACUUGCUUCGAUCGUCCAAGUAAACGAGACGCCUUUCAUACAGUCUGUAAUCGGUGCCAUUAUAGCGCUGAAGUUGUUGACAAAACGUCUAUAAAAAGAGGCGAGGCCAUGAAAGCUUCGGACGUCUGAGAUAGUCCUAGGUGUUGGCCAUGAUGCCACGGCUUCCACUUUCUGUGGAUCAACACGCAAGCCUGUUGAUGAUACUACGUACCCAAGGAACAAGACCUGUGGCGCCCCAAAUUCACACUUUUGCUUGGCAAUGAAUAGUUGUUCCUUACGUAGAGCUAGUAAGACGUCACGGAGAUGCCUGAGGUGUUCCUCUAGCGUGGUGCUGAAGAUAAGGAUGUCAUCAAAAUAGACGACCACAAACCGACCAAUAAAGGGUCGCAAGGCUUGAUUCAUGACACGCAUAAACGUGCUUGGUGCGUUAGAGAGACCAAACGGCAUAACUAACCAUUCGAACAAUCCCUCACGAGUUUUGAACGCAGUUUUCCACUCGUCUCCUGGGCGAAUUCGAAUCUGAUGGUAUCCGUUUUUGAGGUCCAAUUUGGUGAAGAUAGAAGCCUUUCCUAUUUGAUCUAAAAGAUCGUCAAGGCGUGGUAUCGGAAAUCUAUACCGUGUUGUGAUUUUGUUGAUAGCACGGCUAUCUACACACAUGCGCCAAGAGCGGUCUUUCUUCGGUAUGAGUAAAGCUGGGACAGCACAAGGGCUUAAACUCUCGCGAAUGUAACCUUUGCCGAGGAGGUCCUCUACUUGUCGCCGGAGCUCUUCAUGUUCUUCCGGACUCAUACGAUAAUGUGCACGAUUCGGUAACACCGCGUUGGGCACGAGAUCAAUAUGAUGUUGAAUGUCCCGUAAUGGUGGCAACCCGGACGGCAGUUCCUCUGGGAAAAGAUCGUCGAACUCGUGUAAAAGAGGAGAAAACACCGGUGGGCAUGGGAUUUUUUGUGAUGGUGGUGGUGUGACAGCGACCAAAGCGAACAGAGGGCUUGACUCGCGGAGUUCCUGCUCGAACUGUGACCUAGUAAUGAUCAAUAAGUUUUGUUUUGGUGAAGUUUGUUUACUGGGGCUGGAGACUGAUAAGUCUGUCUCUGGUGCCGGAAGCAAUGUGAUUUUGCGUCCCUCAAACAUAAAAGAAUGGGUGUUUGCUUUGCCGUUGUGGAGAACCUCUCUAUCGUAUUGCCAUGGUCGUCCUAAGAUGAUAUGAGAGACAUCCAUUGGUGCGAUGUCACAAUAUAGAUUGUCUUUGUAAAAAGACCCGAUAGAGAGAGAUACCAUUGUUCGUUGAGAAACAAAUACUUCUGCACCGGUUUGCAUCCAUAAUAAUCGGUAAGGGUGUGGAUGCGCCUCGGGUGUAAGUGCAAGUUUACGAACUGCUUCUUCUGAAACCACAUUUGCUGAACAACCCGAAUCAAUCACGAAGCGACAAAUCUUGCCUUUGAUGGUGCAAGUAGAGGUAAACAAUGACGUGCGCUCCCAAGCCUCGGUGGUUUUUGGAGCAAGACAGUUGCGGCGAAGCAUGAGAAAAGUCCCUGUAUCACCAUGCACUUGUUCUUCUUCGGCCUCAUCGAAUUGUUCCUCGUCUUCAUCAUAAAUAGGUUCACCAAUUAUUUCUCGAUCAUUGGCAAGUAACCCUCGGCGACCUUUGUUAGGGCAAGCCGUUUGUAUGUGUCCGCGUUCACCACAGGUAAAACAACGGAGGGCGUUGGGCCGGGAAGGUCGAGUAUUCACCGCAGGUUCUGUUGCCGCAGAAGUAGUUUCUGCUGGUUUCACUUGUGUUCCUGUAGUGUCUCGGCCCGUAGAAGAUUUUGUGUCGUCCGUGGUGGUUGUGGUUGUACGCGGUCGUGAAUUCCCCGUCCAUUGACCUGUACUGAUGCGAGUUUGCUGUUCCACCAAAAGAGCUCUCUGGCGGGCUUCAGCAACAGAGCCCGGAUCGAACUGGUGCAGCAUAUUUUGAAGUUGAGGUCGUAAACCGGCAAUAAAGCGAGCAACAAGCUGAUCUUCUGAAUCCUGGAUAUCAACUCGUGUGAGUAGUUGAUAGAACUCAUUGGCAUAGUCUUCCACAGAACGCGACCCUUGUCGUAUGUUGUGAAACUUCUGAAACAAAAGCCGUUCAAAAUUAUAUGGAAUAAAGGUUUUCCGCAAAUGUUUCUUAAGCUUGUCCCACGAAGUUAUCUUUUCUUUCCCUCGUCUGGUACGAGUUAAUUUGAGCUGAUUCCACCAAGAGGCGGCAUGCCCUCGGAAUCGUGUGGCAAUUAAAGAGACUUGUCUGUUGCCUGGUACUUCUUUGAAUUCUAAGAAUUCAUCGACCGUAACUAUCCAGUCAAGGAGGUCUUCAGGUUGCGACCCUCCAUGAAAUUCGGGGAUGUCAACUUUAAUACCCGUGGUCCAGCGUGUGUCAUUGUGGCGUCGUGGUUGCUGGUCUCGACCAAGAUGCUGUUGUUGAUUGUUAAUGUCGUCUCCGAAUGGAUUGUCAUCGUCGGACUCGUCAUUAGCUUCGUCGAAAACAGGAUUGUGGUGUUGUCGAUGGCGUUGUUGUGGUGCUGCGGGUGCUGCGUUAGCUGGAGCGGCGUUGGCGACAAAAGCCGCUUGAACCCCAGCUUGUACUCCGGCUUGAAUUGCUUCAGCCAUCGUUCGUCUCAUGUUGUCUUGAAAACUUUCCUGGAAAUCUUCCAGAAAUUGUUGCAUCUGCGUCCACUCAUUAGGACGAGGUGCCAUUGAACCAAAGAUCGAUAAUCACGAAUAGAAUCGUAAUAGAUGGUCUCUGAUACCAACUAAUGGAGCGGAAGUAACGAUAGUAGCCGAUAACACGAUGAUCCUAUUUAGUCUGCGAAUGCCUAAGAUCAAAGUCUUCUUGAGAUCGUUGAGAACACCUAUGUUCUAGCCGAUUGCAAGGAUUAAGAGAUGUUGUAAAACAAAGCUCUAAGUUUUUAUAAUUCAAUAAUCAAAGUCGUGUCUCUUACAAACCCAAGAGAUCACAUUAUAUAGCUAAUAGAAAUCCUAAAACUGAUAGGAUAAGAAACUAAAACGUAUUUAGAAAAGGAAUGGAAAGCUUUAACUAAAAAGGAAAUAAUAACAACAAAACCUAAGGGAAAUAGGAUGUACGCUACAUCAAUAACACAGUCUCUCUCUCUAAUUUCUUAUACUGUUUGAGCUUUGUUGAAACAGUAAGCAAGAAAAAAAGAGUUCAGAUUCUGAGUAGCGUUAGGUAACAUUUUGUCAACUAUGGACAAAAG